rnacentral:rRNA from 1 species
CUAGCUACAGGCUUAACACAUGCAAGUCGAGGGGCAGCAUAUCGAAGCUUGCUUUGAUAGAUGGCGACCGGCGCACGGGUGAGUAACGCGUAUCCAACCUUCCCCUUAGUAGGGCAUAGCCCGUAGAAAUGCGGAUUAAUACCCUAUGUUGUAUUAUGAGGACAUCUGAAAGAUACCAAAGGUUUACCGCUAAGGGAUGGGGAUGCGUCUGAUUAGGUUGUUGGCGGGGUAACGGCCCACCAAGCCUGCGAUCAGUAGGGGUUCUGAGAGGAAGGUCCCCCACAUUGGAACUGAGACACGGUCCAAACUCCUACGGGAGGCAGCAGUGAGGAAUAUUGGUCAAUGGGCGAGAGCCUGAACCAGCCAAGUAGCGUGCAGGAUGACGGCCCUAUGGGUUGUAAACUGCUUUUAUGCGGGGAUAAAGUGAGGGACGUGUCCCUUUUUGUAGGUACCGCAUGAAUAAGGACCGGCUAAUUCCGUGCCAGCAGCUGC